rnacentral:rRNA from 1 species
UACGUAGGGUGCGAGCGUUGUCCGGAAUUAUUGGGCGUAAAGGGCUCGUAGGCGGUUUGUCGCGUCGGGAGUGAAAACCAGGUGCUUAACACCUGGCUUGCUUUCGAUACGGGCAGACUAGAGGCAUGCAGGGGAGAACGGAAUUCCUGGUGUAGCGGUGAAAUGCGCAGAUAUCAGGAGGAACACCGGUGGCGAAGGCGGUUCUCUGGGCAUGUCCUGACGCUGAGGAGCGAAAGCAAGGGGAUCAAACAGG